rnacentral:rRNA from 1 species
GACGAACGCUGGCGGCGUGCUUAACACAUGCAAGUCGAACGGAAAGGCCCUGCUUUUGUGGGGUGCUCGAGUGGCGAACGGGUGCGUAACACGUGAGUAACCUGCCCUUGAUUUUGGUAUAACUUCAGGAAACUGGGCUUAAUCCCGUAUAGGAGCCCCUCUUCCAUGGUGGGGGUUGGAAAUUUUCGGCGGUUGGGGUUGGACUCGCGGCUUUCCAGCUUGUUGGUGGGGUAGUGGAUUACCCAGGCUUUGACGGGUAGCCGGCCUGGGAGGGUGACCGGCCACAUUGGGACUGGGAAAGGGCCCAGACGCCUAAGGGAGGCAGCAGUGGAGAAUAGUGCACAAUGGGCCGAAGCCGGAUGGAGGAACGCCGCGUGGGGGAUGACGGCCUUCGGGUUGUAAACGGCUUUGGCCUGUGACGAAGCGUGAGGAAGGGUAAUAGAGAAAGAAGCACCGGCUAACUACGU